AGAACAAAAUAUGCUCUAUAAAAAACAAAUAUUUUAUGAGCUGAAGACUUCAAAAUGCCGUCGGAUAAAACCAAUGGCGACGAGCCAAGAACCUGCUUAGAAUGAGGGAGCAGACGGCCAUGGAGCGCCGACGCAAUCAAAUGGAAUGAAGAGAACGCGUUGUCAUAGCAACGGCAGCGGCAGCGGCAGAGGCAGUGGCAGCCAUCUUGCAUGUGAGAGGGAAUCGCCAUGGAGCGGCCAUGCUGGCAUGCUGGCGAGCCACCGGCACUCACCUGCGGCGGCGGCUAUUGUGAAGUUCUGUAACGUGACUGAAAUAUCGGUACCAGAAAAAUGUUGUUUUUUCUUGUGCGGCGCUUUUGAGGCUCUGCCAGCCGCAUUGCCGCAGCUGCGAUAUUCCCGGCCAGCGCCAAGCAAGUGCGCCUGCGUUGUGCCCGGACCGUGGCCUCGUCUGACAUAGGACGGAAUGGAGACGGAAACAGAGACGACGGUAAGUUUUCGACGUUUUCGAGUUGGAUAUUCGUGCGCGGCCCUCCUAAGGAGCGAAAAUGUGCGACGACAGCUGCUACGGAUUUAUGCAUAUG